UUGACGCUGAUGGCUGGGCCUGCUUGGGUUUGCUCCUUGAACACUGAAUGGAAGGAACUGUUUGAAGUUUAAACCAACUACCAUCCAUUAUGAUCUGGAAGAAAACAUUAUUUUUACACAAUGCGUGUGGAAAUAUUCCCAACGUUUCAGCAGCCUGAACCAGUUCUGCUCCUUUGUACUGUGAAUUUAUGUGUGGCUCUAGUAAAUCCAUAUUUCAAUCUGUCCCUUUCAGUUCACAGACUGAGUGUUCUUCGAGGUAGCAAAGUCCAUUUAUCCCGUGUUUACAGUGGGUACCUCAGAGGCUCUGGGCUGGAGAGAUGGCUCAGUGGUUAAGAGCACCGUCUGCUCUUCCCAAGGUCCUGGGCUCAAUUCCCAGCACCCACACGGUAGCUCACAACUGCCUGCAACUCCAGUUCCAGAGGAUCUGACACCUUCACAUCAAUGCCCAUAAAAUAAAGUUAAAUAAAUCAUUUAAAAGAUGUUUCCAUGUUUUUAAGUCAUUUUCAACUGCUGUGGCAAGAGGUGGAGGCAGGAGGAUCAGGAGUUCAAGGCCAGCCUUAGCUAUGCAGCAAGUUUGAGACUGGUCUGGACUACAUGAGACUGUCUCAAAGGAAAAAGAAAAAAAGAAA